rnacentral:lncRNA from 1 species
GUCGCUAUGGUAACGUGGCCCGCGCUGUAGGUUCGGGCGGGAGAGUGCUGGCGCUCGGAAUCCUGGAGACCCGGGUCCCAGCUGGCGCAGCUCUAGGUCGCACGCGGGAGACGAAGCUAAUUCCGCUGGGACCGUCCUGGCACACGCGGUGAGUGGACGGUCAUCGCAUCAGGUUCUUGCUCCCCUGUAGCUUUCUUUGACUCAGACUCCCAAACGCCUACCUCGUGAUUAGCCACACGCGCUUCACAGCGCUUCAGUCCCUCACUGACUUCAUUAGUCCAUUAUCUUGUAGACUACUUGUCAUCCUGGCUUGGCCCGAUAUUUUACACAAUUAAGUUACACAUUUUAAACAAGAAAAUGGCGCGCUCGUGCCUCCCAGAAGGCAAACGCCCCAUUACUGGGGAAUACUUUCGUCGCCAAGGUUUGAGUGGUUUAAGUGGUGGCUGCCAAGGGGCUAACAUAAAGUUAUUAUUUUCUACUCGGCAUGGUGGCACAUGCUUUAAAAUCCCAGGAUUUGGGGGCAGAGGCAGGCGGAUUUCUGUUAUUUCGAGGCCGGCCUGGUCUGCAUAGUUCCAGGACAGCCAGAGCUAUGUAGAGACUCUGUCUUAAAAUCUAAAUAAAUAACAAGGUUUCUGUUUUCUUUCCUUUUUUUUUUAAGAUUUAUUUAUUUAUUAUAUGUAAGUACACUGCAGCUGUCUUCAGACACAUUAGAAGAGGGCAUCAGAUCCUACUACAGAUGGUUGUGAGCCACUAUGUGGUUGCUGGGAUUUGAACUCAGGACCUUUAGAAGAGCAGUCGGGUGCUCUUACCCACUGAGCCAUCUCACCAGCCCCCAGGUUUCUAUUUUCUUAUUGUAAAUAAUAAACACCAUUUGGGGAGGUGCUUGACUGUGUAAAAGUCUUGCUUUUAACCAUAUUUUCAGCUACUAAUUUUAGCAUACGUCAGUGAAAGCUUCCUGAUUUUUUUUUUUCUUUUGAUUUCAUGUUUUAUUCUUGCUAUGUUGGGUGCAGAAAAAGAAUCACAAGUUAACUGAAUCAAAGGCCAUUCAGACCAUUCGGACUGAAGUGGGAUCCAGUUUCCAGCAGUCUUUAUUUAGAAUCGGCAUCAGUGUAGGUUUCAAUCACUGCUCUGGCAGCUGGGGCCCAGGGAGAGCUGCAGGAAACAAGAACAGGCUGUAUUCUCCAGGGCUCCUGCCUGGGUACAGGUCGGUCCUCCCUGGGAAUAGCAGGUGGAGGAUAACAGCGACUCCAAGGGAUGGGCUAGUCAUGAAGAGAUGGAGAUCAUUGAUGUCCCCACAGGGAGGACCUCAGAGGUCACUGCCCUUCCACCUGUAUCCUGGAAUCUUUUAUGAAACUGCUCCAUGAGAACCAGGCAGGAAUUUCAUUGGCUUCAGGAAUAGUCCAGUAUAAGCCCACUGUCUUAGUCACUGUUCUGUUGCUAUGAAGAGACGCCAUGACCAAAGCAACUCUUAUAAAAGAAAGCAUUUAACUAGGGGCUGGUGUACAGCUUCAGAGGCUUAGUCCAUUAUCAUCAUGGCAGCAAGCAUGGUACUUGGUAGCUGACAGCUACACCCUAAUCUAGAGACAGGACAGACUGAGACAGCCUGGCGUGGGCUUCUGAAACCUCAAAGCCCACCCUAGUGACACACACUUCCUCCUAUAAGGCCACACCUCCUAAUCCUUCUAAUCUUUACAAACAGUUCCACUCCCUGGUGACUAAGCAUUCAAAUACAUAAGCCUAUGGGAACCAUUCUUUUUUUGUUUGUUUUUGUUUUUCGAGACAGGGUUUCUCUGUAUAGCCCUGGCUGUCCUGGAACUCACUCUGUAGACCAGGCUGGCCUCGAACUCAGAAAUCCACCUGCCUCUGCCUCCCGAGUGCUGGGAUUAAAGGCAUGUGCCACCAAGCCCGGCUUCUUGUCUCUUCUUAAGCACCCACAUAAUUCCAGUAAUUUCACUCUGAAGAACCACCAUGUCUAUUCUGACUCCUGGAUUUUCUUUUUACUGGAGCCACAAGGUCUCAUUUGAAGCUGGCAGAGAAUCAGCACUUACACUGCCUGAUGUGGAGUCAGAUAGCCGUGCUUAAGUGUGGUGACCUCUUUCUGUCUCUGGCAGCUUCAGUCCUGAAGGAAUUCUAUAUGUGAUAUCUGUCAAAUAUUUUUCUAUUUCCGUUACUCCUACAUUGAUUAGCUGGCACUUUGUUGUAAAACAGAGUCUUUCCUUAUAAUUUUUUCCAUUAGUUAAUUUAGUCACAUCUUGGUUGCUGCCCCUCUCCCUCCGUCCACUCUCCCCUGUUAAGGCCUGGGUGACUGUUGCCUAUCCAGCCAGCCAUUUUGUGCUGUUAUUAAUGUUAUAGGGAAACUUUGUCCUGCUCUAGUUGAUCUCAUAUUCUGCUAUGUUCUACGCUUUGGUGUUCUGGGAAACCGGCAGAGGUCGGUUAGAACUGCUUUGUAUAAGCUUGCACCCGAACUGCCAGCAGCUCUUCCUGAAUCUAUAUAUGAACUUUUAUGGUUUCUUGUCUUUGUAAGUUGCCCUGGGAUAGACCCCAACGUAAGAAAGACAACUGCACCAAUAUAAUAAGCCAUUUGGAUUAAAACUUUCAUUUUGAGUGGGAGUUGAAUAAAGUUUAAGUUCCUCCCUGGGAACCGACAUCCUGCUUGGCAGAAACAGACAUGUACGUGGGUAACUGACUUCCUGCUUGGUAAGUUAAGACAUGGAUAUUAGGCAAGUCAAGUUGCCCAGCCACAGUUGACUGACUACCCCAACCAAUGGGAGCAGGAUAAGGAUACAAAAAAGACAUGUUCCUAAGGAAAUCCCCUAUUCCUAAAUCCCGAUUGGUGGAAUAACUUGGCACAGAUAUUUGUGGAUUUCAAGGCUUAAAGGCUCUGUAAAAUCCUAGCUCCAGGUCUCAACUAGCUCCUGUGUUAGUCACAUCAUGAUUGAUCAGGCCUGGGGUGAAUGCUCAAUAAACUAUCCCUGCCUGACUGAGAUCGGUGUUUGUGUGGUUUGUGAGGUGACUCCUGGACCCCAGCACUCCCCUCACAACACUCUGGAAGGCAGAGGUAGAGGCAGAAGAGCUCUGUAAGUUCCAGGCCAGUAUGGUCUGCAUAGAGUUUGUCUCAGAAAGAAAGAAAG